AAAAUGGACCGUAGACUUCAAAGAGCACUUUCUACGUCUUAUUAAUCAAAACUAAAUAUUUAAAACUGACAGUUUUAUGACUUUCGUUAUAAUGACCAUAGACUAUCGCUUCUAAAGUUUUGAAUUAAAAAAACAAAAAACUGGAAACAAAUAUUUCCUUAGAACUCCUGAGGGGAGAAAUUCAUCCCGUCUCUUUUCAACGAAUAAAAAUCAGUCGUUCAGAGUAAUAACUCAAUAUCCAUCUGCCGUCCACCUGUGUCAGGUGCGUUUGGUGUCUAGUUCGAGGAAAAGCGUGUGGCAGCAGUCGACAUAUGAACUAAUGCGGUUCUACAACGUUCCAGACCGAACUUAGCUAAGGUGGCGCCAUGUCACUGUUAAAUUCUUGCAUUCGGCGCCUACCGGCAGGCUCGGAAUUAACUUUCCUUCCCCCGAGAAGAAUCUCACUUCAUUUAGAAGUCGAAUGGACGAACAGCCAGUACGUGUUAGUUCUUAACAGGAAGACGUUAUAAGUAUUGUAUUUUUUACUAAACUACUUUGAUCUAGGCAUGCAUAAAGUCCGGCCUGCAGAAGGAUCGACACAGUUCGCCAUUCCAUCGGUUUUUAGCGCCAAAAUUCAUCCCAGUCUAUUUUUAUCGAGCUAAAAACAGACGGAUUUCGCCAUUAGAUUGGGGAUGGACUCAAACGGGCAGAACUAAGAUCGUCUCUGGUUAGGAAAAGCAUCCAUCGAGCGGGACGUAACCUGUGCCAUUUCUUCACUCUAAAAGUGGCUUAGUUAGAGGCGUUCAAUAUGACCAAUCUGGCCCAGAAUGUGAACAUUUUAGUCUGUUUGCGAUAGAUAGUUCACGAUUGAUGUUGGAUUUUUUUUUGCCGAUAUGGUUGAAAAACUGUGCAAAUGCGGGCUGAGUUCAGUUAGUAAAAAACAUACUAAACGCAGUCUUAUAUCGAAAGCAAAACUAAAACAAUAAAAAGUUUUGUAGACACUUGUAGUUUUGUCAUUGUAAUCGAUGGAUGCGUGAGCGGCGAGCUCAAUUGACCGCCAACGAAAAGCAUCGAAGUUGAAGGCGGCGGUCGCCUUGUUCUUCCUUCUUACGUAAAGGAAAUAAAAAAAAAAGAAAAAAGCGCGGACAACUGACCUCCUCAAGGACGCUCCGGAAGAAAGUGGCCAGCCAGGCUACGCGUAAACAGGAUCAUAAAAGUGAGAAAGCGGCCAUCGAUCGAAAGGUUGUUUAUCGUCCACCGUUUGCGCGGUCGAUGCUUCGAUCGCUUGCUUUACGUAAUGCUUUUUACCUUUCCCGGGAAUGAGCUCGGGCAUGUAGAGCCGGCGUGUCCCCUUCCGCUAUUUAUAUCCCAUCUCCAAUUCCACGUCCGAACUUAGAAGCCGCGGCUUGAGCACCGAUUCCAUCUCACUCCAUAUUCGCCUCUAUCUAUAUAAUAACUACUUCUUUAGAUCGGGUCGGAAAUCUGGAAUUACGACGGAAUAAGAAUUAUACGGAAGAGUCCGAAAAGAGAAGAAGAGGUUUUUUUGUAAUUCGUUUUGAUGGAUGAAACGGAAGAGAAAGCUAUCCUCCCCGCGUAGCGUCAAUGGGAUCGUCCAUUUUUUUUCCCUCGCUCUGCACUUUCCCUGGUCCCUCCUUCGUACUAAUCUCUUUCCACCCCUCAGCUGCCUUGUUUUACUUCGACGCGUCUUCCCCCUUUAUUAAACUACCAAUUUAUUUUUAAGUCACGUGCGGGAUAUCGAUCGCCGCGUUUGGGAGGAUCCCCUUAUGGGGAUAGGGCUUUCUGCCCACCCUCGUAGAAUCUGAGGUUUUUCCAUCACCCAAGCCGGCGUCGGGGAGCAAGCUGCAAUUUUUUGAUCGAAGAAACCGGGAAAUUGGAUUUGGACCGAGUGUCUCUCUCUCCCCUCCUCUCCGCGUCCGGAUGGAUGGAGGGGGACGAUAGACCCUCUUUCUCUCUGUCCUCGGGCGGGUACUUCCUCUUUUUACCAGAAUCGUUCUUUGUUUCAUUUUGCGCUUUUCGUUUGUCCUCUUUCCCCAUUUUCCUUCAAGAUUUAAUUCUUCGAGUCCGACUUGUCUCUCACGAUUUCACUCCAGAAAAAACUUCUACUUUAUAUUUUAUGUAAAAUAAACACUUUCAGCCCAUCUUAGCUAUUAGGAAUUACUAAUCUUAGUUCCCUGAACCACUGUAUUAGGUCCGGUUUCGAUCUCUUAAGCCCGCGCUGAAUCUCAGUCCCAGGAGAGAAACGAUCUAAAGAACGCUCUGGUGUUACGCAAUCCCUUCCCGCUCGGCCGCUCCCCUCGGAUGCGGUAAUGGUAGUGGCCCAAGGGAGGAAAUUCCAAGAAAGUUAAAAAGCAGGGGAGAGCCGAAGAGAGACAGAGAGAGGCAGGAAGGAGACUGAUAAUAACGCCAUGCAGCCCGGAGGAGGUAAGGCAGAUGCGCCAUUCGGCUUACGCCUAGAAACAUGGUUCCAGUUUCUUUUCCGCGGCCCCUUUCUUUUGGAAGCGUCCCGCCUCUCCGGCCACGCGGGGGCGCUCGGAAUAACCGCCAAUGGCAAUUUAAACAUCGGGUCCGCGCGGAAGUAGGCGACGCAGUUUAUCCGGCCCGCUGUCUUCCCGGAUGGAUGCUAUCCGGUUCGACCGUCAAACGGCUUUAUGGAGAAGAAUUUGGAUCUUUAUUUCGGAUCCCUUCCUUUGUUCUGACCAACAUUUUGGACAGCUCGAGUGGGCCGAGUAGAUCGAAAAUGAUACCGCCGCCAUCAUCAACUUUCUUCGGGGGUCCCGGAAAGGGAGUGGCGGUCCUCAGCCUUUAUCGUAUCCCGUGCCCCCAGCCGUUGUGUAAGGGUAACUUCCGCUUUAGUAACAAUUUGAGGUUUCCCGGCCGCGCUGGCUAAGCCGGGUGGUGAACAUUGGGGCCCUAAUUUGGGAUCUCUUUUUUUCUCUCCCUUCCGCGCCCCGUUCGUUCUUCCCCACCCGGGGGAAAGGGGAUAAAAAACGGGAGGACGGCCGGGUUGUAUCUGGGGUCGGGAGGGGGUUUACGUGCCGGGUGCUUUUUACAGGGCCGGUUUAGCCCCGGGCGCCAGCUUGGGAACACGUCGACGAGUAACCCUGAGCUUGACCUUGAAGCCGGCUGCUUGACACAGUUUCCCGGUUCACCACGGCACGCGAGGGUCGUUGUCAUGUGACGCAACGUAUUACGGCAUCCGCGACCCGCCUCCGGCCGCCCAUUGGUCCGACCGCUAAUCCUUUAAACCUGGUGUCGGCAGAGACCGGCGGCGGCAUAGCCAUUGGAUCUCGGCUCAAAGGCACGGCCCAAUGAGAAGAGGGGAUAACGUCAGCGGGCCGGCCGGGAGGGGGAGGAAAGAUCCCCAGCUAGCACUGCGAAGUCGGCCACACGCCGAGCAUGCGGCACCCAUGACUGCUAAGGAAAGGAUUGGUUCCCCGUGCGGUGGAGCGGCCGGGCUCACCGACCUCCAGGUAGGUUCUUUUUCCGAUUGCGUUUACAUUCACUCGAGCUAUGCCCGAUACAUACGAAUCUUCCUUUGCUGAUGCCGGCUUCGGGGUAUAAUUCAGAUCGCGUAUUAGAUAAUUCAGCCAAGCUGAGUCCGAACAGGACGCCAUCUUGACAUCGAUUAUUUCCAAGAAUCAGCCGGCUGGUAAUUGACGUUUUCCGAGAGAAGGGCCAAGAUCUUUUCGAGAUUUAGACGGACCAUGCCCGUAACAGUUUUGUCAGGUUCUCGAGAUCAGAAGAAAGCGGUAAAAAAAAAUCUUCGUGUUUUAUGUUAAUGGAGAAGGACGGCGGAGACGGCAUUGGGUUGCUUCUCCGAUUCCUGCUAAUUGGGCUACGCCUUUCCUUCAAACGUCAGCGUUCGGUCGAAUAAAUUCCGAAUUCAGAGCUGGCCCUGGUUUUUUUUUACUAUUUUAUUUAGCUCAGUAUUACAGCUCGAAAUAGGGACAGAACUUUUUUUCACUGGGAGGAGAGUAAGGAUUUUACCGGCUCGAGAAAGGGUAGUCCUGGUUGUGCAGCCCGCCUCCUCAUCCGCCGAGAGGUGGAGGCCCCCUUCCCGUAACCGACUUUUUUCCUUUGUGUUUCUGACGUCAUUUUACAGCGCGCGUGAGUCACGUGCCCGGGGGAAUGACGUCAGAAAAAGGGAGACGAAAAAAAUGGCGCUUCCCUCCACCUUCUUUGUUUCCACCGUCAGUCUAUCGUCGUACCGGAAAGACGGCCCUUCCUUCCGUUCGGAAAUUUUUAAAUUGGCCCCUCACAGAAAAAAAAAAAACUGGCGAAGGAUAAAACUAACGUAGAAAUUUUUUUUUCUCGUCCAAAUUUGGCUCAAUAUUCUCUACACCCGGAAAUUUUUUGUGGUAUUUACCAACCAAGAAACAUUUCUACUGAAAUCCCCAAAAUUAUCGAGAAACAGAUCAUAAUACCCUCAUCUAUAAAAGACAACACUUGUUAUAUAUUAAAAUAUAUGAACGAUCCGAUUAUUUUUAUUUUAAAACGAAUUAUUUUGCUCGUAGAUCGAAUUCAAACGUAGAAAAUAAUGUAGUCAUGUUAGCUAUGAUGUUUAUUUUAUUUAGAUAGCUAUAUUUGUUAUUUAUCAUCUGCAAAGAACGAAGUUCUCUUCUAACGUUUUAAAAUACCAGUUCCAGAUUCCGGCAUUCACUGGAUAAGAAGUAUUGUACUAGGUAACAAAGGUCAGGGUUACUAGGAAAGUCCAUAAGGAAAAUAAACAGAAAGGAUAAUGUUUAAAAGAUUGGCAUUAAUUAAAAUACCAUCAGACGAACGAUGUAGAUCCGUACACGUAACUAUUCAAUCUAAUCUAUGUUUUUGAAGAACAUGCACUGCAGUUGUAUUGAUAACGAUGAUAUGAUGCUUUUGGACAAUCUAAACGAGAAAAUGCGAACUAUGGUUUAUGCAAAAUUUCACAUAAAUGUCAAGAUCCUGUGAAAAACGGUCUUAUUCCUGGUUACCGGUCACCUUUUUUUAUCGGUUAUAACAUUUGCAAUUCAUCAUUUGCAUUAAGCAGUAGAUCCGAACGCAAAACGAAAUCAAACCGAACUCUGUUCCAAAAAUAUCCAAAAUGCCAAAUUACUAAUUAAUGCCAAGUUCUCGGAAGAUAAAUUGGGCUAUUUCGGCUAAUUUCAAGUACAAUAAAAAAAAAAAAACUCCACUCGCAUUGCAUGAAUCGGAAAAAAAUAAAUUCUC
rnacentral:lncRNA from 1 species